rnacentral:rRNA from 1 species
GAUGAACGCUGGCGGCGUGCCUAAUACAUGCAAGUCGAACGCAUUGUGGUUGAAAUGAUAUGAAGAACUUGUUCAGAUUUGAUUUUCAACAUUGCAAUGAGUGGCGAACGGGUGAGUAACACGUGGGAAACCUACCUCUUAGCAGGGGAUAACAUUUGGAAACAAAUGCUAAUACCGUAUAAUAAUUAAAACCGCAUGGUUUUAGUUUAAAAGAUGGUCUUGCUAUCACUAAGAGAUGGUCCCGCGGUGUAUUAGUUAGUUGGUGAGGUAAUGGCUCACCAAGACAAUGAUACAUAGCCGAGUUGAGAGACUGACCGGCCACAAUGGGACUGAGACACGGCCCAUACUCCUACGGGAGGCAGCAGUAGGGAAUCUUCCACAAUGGACGAAAGUCUGAUGGAGCAACGCCGCGUGUGUGAUGAAGGGUUUCGGCUCGUAAAACACUGUUGUAAGAGAAGAAUGACAUUGAGAGUAACUGUUCAAUGUGUGACGGUAUCUUACCAGAAAGGAACGGCUAAAUACGUGCCAGCAGCCGCGGUAAUACGUAUGUUCCAAGCGUUAUCCGGAUUUAUUGGGCGUAAAGCGAGCGCAGACGGUUAUUUAAGUCUGAAGUGAAAGCCCUCGGCUCAACCGAGGAAUUGCUUUGGAAACUGGAUAACUUGAGUGCAGUAGAGGAAAGUGGAACUCCAUGUGUAGCGGUGAAAUGCGUAGAUAUAUGGAAGAACACCAGUGGCGAAGGCGGCUUUCUGGACUGUAACUGACGUUGAGGCUCGAAAGUGUGGGUAGCAAACAGGAUUAGAUACCCUGGUAGUCCACACUGUAAACGAUGAGUGCUAGUUGUUCGAGGGUUUCCGCCCUUGAGUGAC